rnacentral:rRNA from 1 species
GACGAACGCUGGCGGCGUGCUUAACACAUGCAAGUCGAACGGAAAGGCCCUGCUUUUGUGGGGUGCUCGAGUGGCGAACGGGUGAGUAACACGUGAGUAACCUGCCCUUGACUUUGGGAUAACUUCAGGAAACUGGGGCUUAUACCGGAUAGGAGCUCCUGCUGCAUGGUGGGGGUUGGAAAGUUUCGGCGGUUGGGGAUGGACUCGCGGCUUAUCAGCUUGUUGGUGGGGUAGUGGCUUACCAAGGCUUUGACGGGUAGCCGGCCUGAGAGGGUGUCCGGCCACAUUGGGACUGAGAUACGGCCCAGACUCCUACGGGAGGCAGCAGUGGGGAAUAUUGCACAAUGGGCGGAAGCCUGAUGCAGCAACGCCGCGUGCGGGAUGACGGCCUUCGGGUUGUAAACCGCUUUCGCCUGUGACGAAGCGUGAGUGACGGUAAUGGGUAAAGAAGCACCGGCUAACUACGUG